rnacentral:rRNA from 1 species
UACGUAGGGGGCAAGCGUUGUCCGGAUUUAUUGGGCGUAAAGAGCGUGUAGGCGGCCAGGUAGGUCGGCUGUGAAAACUCGAGGCUCAACCUCGAGAUGUCGGCUGAAACCAUCUGGCUAGAGUCCGGAAGAGGAGAAUGGAAUUCCCGGUGUAGCGGUGAAAUGCGCAGAUAUCGGGAAGAACACCCGUGGCGAAGGCGGUUCUCUGGGACGGUACUGACGCUGAGACGCGAAAGCGUGGGGAGCAAACAGG